rnacentral:rRNA from 2 species
AGAGUUUGAUCCUGGCUCAGGAUGAACGCUGGCGGCGUGCCUAAUACAUGCAAGUCGAGCGAGAUGUUAGCGCAUGAACCUUCGGGGGAUUAUGCUAACGGACAGCGGCGGACGGGUGAGUAACGCGUAGGCAACCUGCCCCUGACAGAGGGAUAGCCAUUGGAAACGAUGAUUAAAACCUCAUGACACCGUAGAAGCACAUGCUUCAUCGGUCAAAGAUUUAUCGGUCAGGGAUGGGCCUGCGUCUGAUUAACUAGUUGGUGAGGUAACGGCUCACCAAGGUGACGAUCAGUAGCCGACCUGAGAGGGUGAUCGGCCACAUUGGAACUGAGACACGGUCCAAACUCCUACGGGAGGCAGCAGUGGGGAAUAUUGCACAAUGGGCGCAAGCCUGAUGCAGCAACGCCGCGUGAAGGAUGAAGGCCUUCGGGUUGUAAACUUCUGUUCUAAGGGAAGAAACAAAUGACGGUACCUUAGGAGCAAGCCCCGGCUAACUACGUGCCAGCAGCCGCGGUAAUACGUAGGGGGCAAGCGUUAUCCGGAAUUAUUGGGCGUAAAGAGUGCGUAGGUGGUUACCUAAGCGCAAGGUUUAAUUUAGAGGCUCAACCUCUACUUGCCUUGCGAACUGGGCUACUUGAGUGCAGGAGGGGAAAGCGGAAUUCCUAGUGUAGCGGUGAAAUGCGUAGAUAUUAGGAGGAACACCAGCGGCGAAGGCGGCUUUCUGGACUGUAACUGACACUGAGGCACGAAAGCGUGGGUAGCAAACAGGAUUAGAUACCCUGGUAGUCCACGCCGUAAACGAUGAGCACUAGGU